rnacentral:rRNA from 1 species
UGGGGAAUAUUGGCACAAUGGGCGCAAGCCUGAUGCAGCAACGCCGCGUGAGGGAUGACGGCCUUCGGGCUUGGUAAAACCUCUUUUUAGUAGGGAAGAAGCGAAAGUGACGGUACCUGCAGAAAAAGCACCGGCUAACUACGUGCCAGCAGCCGCGGUAAUACGUAGGGUGCGAGCGUUGUCCGGAAUUAUUGGGCGUAAAGAGCUCGUAGGCGGUCUGUCGCGUCUGCUGUGAAAACCCGAGGCUCAACCUCGGGCCUGCAGUGGGUACGGGCAGACUAGAGUGCGGUAGGGGAGAAUGGAAUUCCUGGUGUAGCGGUGGAAUGCGCAGAUAUCAGGAGGAACACCGAUGGCGAAGGCAGUUCUCUGGGCCGUAACUGACGCUGAGGAGCGAAAGCGUGGGGAGCGAACAGGAUUAGAUACCCUGGUAGUCCACGCCGUAAACGUUGGGCGCUAGAUGUGGGGACCAUUCCACGGUUUCCGUGUCGCAGCUAACGCAUUAAGCGCCCCGCCUGGGGAGUACGGCCGCAAGGCUAAAA